UGGGAAUCUGCCCAGUCGUGGGGAUAACGUAGGGAAACUUACGCUAAUACCGCAUGCGCCCUUCGGGGGAAAGCCGGGGACCUUCGGGCCUGGCGCGAUUGGAUGAGCCCACGUCGGAUUAGCUAGUUGGCGGGGUAAAGCCCACCAAGGCGACGAUCCGUAGCUGGUCUGAGAGGAUGAUCAGCCACACUGGAACUGAGACACGGUCCAGACUCCUACGGGAGGCAGCAGUAGGGAAUAUUGGACAAUGGGCGCAAGCCUGAUCCAGCCAUGCCGCGUGAGUGAAGAAGGCCCUCGGGUUGUAAAGCUCUUUUGUCCGGAAAGAAAAGCGCCGGGUUAAUACCCUGGUGUCCUGACGGUACCGGAAGAAUAAGCACCGGCUAACUUCGUG
rnacentral:rRNA from 1 species